GUGGGGGCAGGGAGUAGGCAGCUCAGUGGGAGGAAAUGAGGCUGGACAACAGCCAGCUCCCAAGGGAAGCGCUUCUUGCCACAUCUGGCCAGCAUGUGUCUGGGCAAUAGAUGAUGAAGGCAACAAAGAGGCAGCCUUGCUCCUUGCGCUGGGCAGGUAGUCUUUCCAAGCACACAUACGUACACCUCCCCACCAACAAUGCAAUCUGCUGUUGCUACAAAGGAGCUAGAGAAAAGUUCUUUUGUGACUCUGGGCAAGGCCAGCCGUGAGUGGAGCUGGGCUUAACGGUGUGGGAGAAGCUGUCCCAGAGAUUAAGGAGCUUGAGAAGGGAAGGUAGGCAAGGCCAGCACCCUGGAGCAGGCUGACCUAAGGUGGAGGCUGAGGAGGAGCAGCUGAAGAAGGGGUGGGCCCAACACAAUCAAAAGGAUCCUUAAAUGUGGAAGAGGGAAGCAAGAGCCGUCAGAGAAAGACUUGGAGAGAGAAGGGACCACCAGCCAAGGAAUGCCAGCAGUCUCCAGAAGCUGGAAAGGAAAAAGCAAGGAAACAGAUUCUCCCUGAGAGCCUGCAGGGUGUCCUUGGACUCGGGCUUCCCAUACAUGAAGAGGAUGGUCCCAUAGAAGAUGACCAUGACUAUGAAGUGAGCAGAACAGUUAAGAGCCAACAUGUUUUCCAGAUUUCGAGUAUCUUUGUACUUGGAGAACACCCCAC
rnacentral:lncRNA from 1 species